GGAGAGGUGACAGAGUGGUCGAAUGUGACGGUCUUGAAAACCGUUGUACGGUUUCCGUACCGUGGGUUCGAAUCCCACCCUCUCCGCCA
rnacentral:tRNA from 1 species